UGACCUCGGAGUCGUAGGCAAGCUCAUGCAGCCACUUGUGGACUGUUGCACAGCUUGGGAAUGAAACGGUUGAUAGUGUUAAAAAGGUGGAGUGGGAGAGAUGCUAUUCUUUUGUGUGAGUCGAAAUGUGCUGCUAUGAACUCCAGUUGUUGGGUGGGAGUGAGUGAAGAUUUUCUUUGUUCAUUCGCAGACCAAGAGCGUGGAAACAUUGGACUGUCCAUUGUGUGGACUGAAUGGCUUCUUGGAAGGUCCUGGCUUUGAAAGGCAGUUGUCGAGGGAUUUGGAUACCGAGAGACCGUAAUGUCGCUCUCGACUCCUUCAUGGAGUGAAGCACAUCGCUGGUGUUACUGGCAAAUAGUUUUUCACCAUAAAAAGGGAGAUCUUCUAUGGUAUUCUGAACCUCGCAAGGAAAAGAAGAUGAUGAAAGCCAUGAAGUUUGAUGCACCAUGACUGCUGUAACAGUGGAUCUCGCAGUUGUCUUAGCAACAUCAAGUGCAGCUUGUAGUGCGGUACGGGAGAUGAUUUGUCAGUCAGAGACUAUGGUUUUAAACUGAUGGUGGUUUUUUUUCCCCCCUCUGGAAUGUCAUCAAUAAAGUCCUUGAGUUUCUC